rnacentral:rRNA from 1 species
UGGCGGACGGGUGAGUAAUGUCUGGGAAACUGCCCGAUGGAGGGGGAUAACUACUGGAAACGGUAGCUAAUACCGCAUAACGUCGCAAGACCAAAGAGGGGGACCUCCGGGCCUCGCGCCAUCAGAUGAACCCAUAUGGGAUUAGCUUGUAGGUAAGGUAACGGCUUACCUAGGCGACGAUCCCUAGCUGGUCUGAGAGGAUGACCAGCCACACUGGAACUGAGACACGGUCCAG